rnacentral:lncRNA from 1 species
GGGUGAAGGAUAAAAAGCAAAGUCCUCAGCCAAUGCAGAAACAAGUGAUCCAGUCCCCUUAUGAUAACAGCUGCAGCCCUUAGAAUCGUUAUCCUGACCCAAUGAAGGAAAAGUGUUGAGCAAAAUGGGGUGAAGCAGCAAAGUUAUAUCCAGUUGGACAACUAGGUAGAACAACUAGGUGCUGAUCCUUAUCACCAGUAGGUGUGGCUGGAAGCUGUGAGUCAGGAGAGUUUCUUCCGGAUAGAACUCCGUUGGGUUGCCUCAUUUUAGCAAAAAUGCUGCAGCUCAACCGCCUAUGUUUACAGAGCAGCCCUGGGAGUGCUUGGAGGUAAUUCUCACUGGGAACUCCUUGUUCUCAGCAUAACUUAGGCUAUGACUUACGGUGAAAUUAUAACUACUGCUUUCUCCUCAUUUCAGACUAUCUCAUCGGCACUAUCUCAUUAAAAGAAGCCACUUCUCCCUGACCUUCCCUCUGUUCUGCUCACCAUGAAUAUUUCUCCAAGCAUUUUGUCCUCGAUCUCUAUGAACCACAAUGACUAUCAAAGAAUGAAUCAAGAAUGAGAGACCUUGAGCAAUUCAAAGCCUGUGAGAUGUAACCUGUUAGGGCUCAGCACAGCUGGGAAUCCAGAGACGUCAAAGUCUGCUGGCAGGUGAACGGCUGGCCUGUUACAAGACAACCUGAAGAAACAGGGCAGGGGAGCCAGAAACAACAAGCCCAGGAUUGCUACAGUUGUCUUCCUUAGGAGUUCUGCCAGCUCAGAUUGUGGAAGGACUGGGGAAGAGGCUGGGGUUUUAUAAGCAAGUGAGACAAUAAAAA